UACGUAGGGAGCAAGCGUUGUCCGGAAUCAUUGGGCGUAAAGCGCGCGUAGGCGGCCCCGUAAGUCCGCUGUGAAAGUCAAGGGCUCAACCUUUGAAAGCCGGUGGAUACUGUGGGGCUAGAGUCCGGAAGAGGCGAGUGGAAUUCCUGGUGUAGCGGUGGAAUGCGCAGAUAUCAGGAGGAACACCAAUAGCGAAGGCAGCUCGCUGGGACGGUACUGACGCUAAGGCGCGAAAGCGUGGGGAGCGAACAGG
rnacentral:rRNA from 1 species